UCAGAUGCGAAAGCGUGGGUAGCAAACAGGAUUAGAUACCCUGGUAGUCCACGCCGUAAACGCUGUCUACUUGGAGGUUGAGGUUUUAGACUUUGGCUUUCGGCGCUAACGCAUUAAGUAGACCGCCUGGGGAGUACGGCCGCAAGGUUAAAACUCAACUGAAUUGACGGGGGCCCGCACAAGCGGUGGAGCAUGUGGUUUAAUUCGAUGCAACGCGAAGAACCUUACCUACUCUUGACAUCCAGCGAAGCCUUUAGAGAUAGAGGCGUGCCUUCGGGAGCGCUGAGACAGGUGCUGCAUGGCUGUCGUCAGCUCGUGUUGUGAAAUGUUGGGUUAAGUCCCGCAACGAGCGCAACCCUUAUCCUUGUUUGCCAGCACAUAAUGGUGGGAACUCCAGGGAGACUGCCGGUGAUAGACCGGAGGAAGGUGGGGACGACGUCAAGUCAUCAUGGCCCUUACGAGUAGGGCUACACACGUGCUACAAUGGCAGAUACAGAGGGCAGCGAGACAGCGAUGUUUAGCGAAUCCCUUAAAGUUUGUCGUAGUCCGGAUUGGAGUCUGCAACUCGACUCCAUGAAGUCGGAAUCGCUAGUAAUCGUGGAUCAGAAUGCCACGGUGAAUACGUUCCCGGGCCUUGUACACACCGCCC
rnacentral:rRNA from 1 species